rnacentral:rRNA from 1 species
AUUGAACGCUGGCGGCAGGCUUAACACAUGCAAGUCGAGCGAGCGGCGGACGGGUGAGUAAUGUCUGGGACACUGCGUGAUGGAGGGGGAUAACUACUAGACGCGGUAGCUAACACCGCAUAACCGCAGAUGUACCCAUAUGGGAUUAGCUAGUAGGUGGGGUAAUGGCUCACCUAGGCGACGAUCCCUAGCGGGUCUGAGAGGAUGACCAGCCACACUGGAACUGAGACACGGUCCAGACUCCUACGGGAGGCAGCAGUGGGGAAUAGUGCACAAUGGGCGCAAGCCUGAUGCAGCCAUGCCGCGUGUGUGAAGAAGGCCUUCGGGUUGUAAAGCACUUUCAGCGAGGAGGCGUUACUCGCAGAAGAAGCACCGGCUAACUCCGUGCCAGCAGCCGCGGUAAUUC